rnacentral:rRNA from 1 species
UUGAACGCUGGCGGCAUGCCUUACACAUGCAAGUCGAACGGCAGCACGGGUGCUUGCACCUGGUGGCGCGUGGCGAACGGGUGAGUAAUACAUCGGAACAUGUCCUGUAGUGGGGGAUAGCCCGGCGAAAGCCGGAUUAAUACCGCAUACGAUCUACGGAUGAAAGCGGGGGACCUUCGGGCCUCGCGCUAUAGGGUUGGCCGAUGGCUGAUUAGCUAGUUGGUGGGGUAAAGGCCUACCAAGGCGACGAUCAGUAGAUGGUCUGAGAGGACGACCAGCCACACUGGGACUGAGACACGGCCCAGACUCCUACGGGAGGCAGCAGUGGGGAAUUUUGGACAAUGGGCGAAAGCCUGAUCCAGCAAUGCCGCGUGUGUGAAGAAGGCCUUCGGGUUGUAAAGCACUUUUGUCCGGAAAGAAAUCCUUGGCUCUAAUACAGUCGGGGGAUGACGGUACCGGAAGAAUAAGCACCGGCUAACUACGUG